rnacentral:rRNA from 1 species
CCCUUAGACGUUCUGGGCCGCACGCGCGCUACACUGACCGGUGCAACAAGCAUCCGUCCUUGGCCGACAGGCCCGGGCAAUCUUUGAACGCCGGUCGUGAUGGGGAUAGACUUUUGCAAUUUUUGGUCUUCAACGAGGAAUUCCUAGUAAACGCAAGUCAUCAACUUGCAUUGAUUACGUCCCUGCCCUUUGUACACACCGCCCGUCGCACCUACCGAUUGAAUGGUCCGGUGAAGCCUCCGGAUUGGCGCGCACCUCGGUGCCGCCGAGAAGUUGGCUAAACCUUACCAUUUAGAGGAAGGUGANGUCGUAACA